UAUAUAGUUUUUGUCUUUUUCCUCAAUAAUGAAAUGUGGAUUGGUUGAAUUAGGGCUUUUGAUGAAUACUUUUAGAUAUAAGCUUUAAUAUGUCACAUUCUCAAGAACCAUACAUCAGGACGUAUCAUUUGUUCACAUACUUG